AUCCUCCCCAGCUCUCAUAACCCAAGCCAUUUGUGUGUUUCCUUCCCUUUUCUGUGACCGACCGCAGGGCCAAAAUACAUGGAACCCUUUUCGGCUGUUAACCCCAGCGCGGUUGGUCUUUUUAGUACCUCCAGGAAUUUCCCGAACCCCUGGUGAUCUGGGUGAUUUUUGGAUAUGUGUCUCACCCAGAUCAGGGCUACCAGGGGAUGUAAUAUUUAAAGGGGUACUCCUAGGUUUAGGGGUACAUCCAGAAAACAAG
rnacentral:lncRNA from 1 species